UCCCUGGAGGAGUAGUGGUUAGGCCACAGCGCUCUCACCACUGCAGCCCCGGGUUCGAUUCCCGGCCUGGGAA
rnacentral:tRNA from 1 species